rnacentral:rRNA from 1 species
AGAGUUUGAUCCUGGCUCAGAUUGAACGCUGGCGGCAUGCCUUACACAUGCAAGUCGAACGGUAGAGGGGCAACCCUUGAGAGUGGCGAACGGGUGAGUAAUGCAUCGGAACGUGCCCAGUCGUGGGGGAUAACGCAGCGAAAGCUGUGCUAAUACCGCAUGUGAUCUGUGGAUGAAAGCAGGGGACCGCAAGGCCUUGUGCGAUUGGAGCGGCCGAUGUCAGAUUAGCUAGUUGGUAGGGUAAAAGCCUACCAAGGCGACGAUCUGUAGCUGGUCUGAGAGGACGACCAGCCACACUGGGACUGAGACACGGCCCAGACUCCUACGGGAGGCAGCAGUGGGGAAUUUUGGACAAUGGGCGCAAGCCUGAUCCAGCAAUGCCGCGUGCAGGACGAAGGCCUUCGGGUUGUAAACUGCUUUUGUACGGAGCGAAACGGUCUGGGUUAAUACCCUAGGCUAAUGACGGUACCGUAAGAAUAAGCACCGGCUAACUACGUGCCAGCAGCCGCGGUAAUUC